GAUACCUACGGGGGGCAGCAGUGAGGAAUAUUGGUCAAUGGGAGAGAUCCUGAACCAGCCAAGCCGCGUGAGGGAAGACGGCCCUAUGGGUUGUAAACCUCUUUUGUCGGAGAACAAAACCCGGGACGUGUCCCGGACUGCGUGUAUCCGAAGAAAAAGCAUCGGCUAACUACGUGCCAGCAGCCGCGGUAAUACGUAGGUGGCAAGCGUUAUCCGGAUUUAUUGGGCGUAAAGCGAGCGCAGGCGGUUGUCUUGG
rnacentral:rRNA from 1 species